GUGCCAGCAGCCGCGGUAAUUCCAGCUCCAAUAGCGUAUAUUAAAGUUGUUGUGGUUAAAAAGCUCGUAGUUGAACCUUGGGCCUGGCUGGCCGGUCCGCCUCACCGCGUGCACUGGUCCGGCCGGGCCUUUCCCUCUGUGGAACCCCAUACCCUUCACUGGGCGUGGCGGGGAAACAGGACAUUUACUUUGAAAAAAUUAGAGUGCUCCAGGCAGGCCUAUGCUCGAAUACAUUAGCAUGGAAUAAUAAAAUAGGACGCGCGGUUCUAUUUUGUUGGUUUAUAGGACCGCCGUAAUGAUUAAUAGGGACAGUCGGGGGCAUCAGUAUUCAACUGUCAGAGGUGAAAUUCUUGGAUCAGUUGAAGACUAACUACUGCGAAAGCAUUUGCCAAGGAUGUUUUCAUUAAUCAGGAACGAAAGUUAGGGGAUCGAAGACGAUCAGAUACCGUCGUAGUCUUAACCAUAAACUAUGCCGACUAGGGAUCGGACGGUGUUAUUCAUGACCCGUUCGGCACCUUACGAGAAAUCAAAGUGCUUGGGCUCCAGGGGGAGUAUGGUCGCAAGGCUGAAACUUAAAGAAAUUGACGGAAGGGCACCACCAGGGGUGGAGCCUGCGGCUUAAUUUGACUCAACACGGGAAACUCACCAGGUCCAGACACAAUAGGAUUGACAGAUUGAGAGCUCUUUCUUGAUUUUGUGGUGGUGGUGCAUGGCGUUCUUAGUUGGUGGGGUGACUUGUCUGCUUAAUUGCGAUACGACGAGACCUUAACCUUGCUAAAUUAGCCCGCAUUGCUCAGCAGUGCCCUGC
rnacentral:rRNA from 1 species